AUACCGCAUAUAUCCUACGGGGGAAAGCAGGGGACCUUCGGGCCUUGCGCUAUUCGAUGAGCCUGAGUGAGAUUAGCUAGUUGGUGGGGUAAAGGCCUACCAAGGCGACGAUCUCUAGCUGGUCUGAGAGGAUGAUCAGCCACACUGGGACUGAGACACGGCCCAGACUCCUACGGGAGGCAGCAGUGGGGAAUAUCGCACAAUGGACGAAAGUCUGAUGCAGCCAUGCCGCGUGUGUGAAGAAGGCCUUCGGGUUGUAAAGCACUUUCAGCGAGGAGGAAAGGUCAGUAAGUAAUAUUUGCUGGCUGUGACGUUACUCGCAGAAGAAGCACCGGCUAAUUUAGUGCCAGCAGCCGCGGUAAUACUAAAGGUGCAAGCGUUAAUCGGAAUUACUGGGCGUAAAGCGCGCGUAGGUGGUUUGUUAAGUUGGAUGUGAAAGCCCAGGGCUCAACCUUGGAACUGCAUUCAAAACUGACUCACUAGAGUACGAGAGAGGUUAGUGGAAUUUCCUGUGUAGCGGUGAAAUGC
rnacentral:rRNA from 1 species